CCUAUAUUUCAUUUGAUUUGUUAUAUUGUCCCAUACAUGAGUAUAUAUGGUUUAGGGGUAAGGAUCUUGACCAUUUCCAAGUUCUCAAACAGGAGGGUGAACAGUGACCUCAGGAACUCCCCCUAUCUUUCAUUUGAAUUGUUAUAUUGUCCUGUACAUGAAUAUAUAUGGUUAAGGGGUGGCGAUCUCAAUGGGUUUCAAAUUCUCAAACAGGACGGGGUGGGGUGACCCAAGGGACACUCCCUAUAUUUCAUCUGAUUUGUUAUAUUGUCCCAUACAUGAAUAUAUAUGGUUUAGGGGUGGGGAUCUCGACCAUUUUUAAAUUCUAAAACAGGAGGGGUGGGGUGACCCCCAGCGACUCUUCCUAUAUUUCCUUUGAUUUUUCAUAUUGUCACAAACAUGAAUAUAUUUGGUUAAGGGGUGUGGAUCUCGACCGUUUCCAAGUUCUCAAACAGGAGGGGGUGGGGUAACUCCAGGGACUCCCCUAUAUUUCAUUUUUUAUUUAUUAUAUUGUCCUAUACUUGAAUAUAUGCAGGGGCGGAUUCAGACGGGGAGGGUUGCGGGCUUGCUACCCCCUUAAAUUUGCAAAGCAUGGGUUGUUCUCAGCUUAAUAAAGAAUAUUCCGAUAAUUUUACCUCAAUUUUUUUAGCCUCGCUCUGCUCGGCGAAAAUUUAAGUUUGCGCCCCUCCUAACCUAAAAUCCUGGAUCUGCCCCUCAUAUGGUUUAGGGGUGGGGAGCUCGACCGUUUUUCCAAGUUAUCAAACGGGGGGGUAGAGUGGCCCAAAGAAUGCCACCUAUAUAUCAUAUGAUUUACUUGUAUAUAUAAUAUAGUUGCAUUAUUUGUGAAAAUAAAGAAACUUUCAGCUACUUUAAUUGACCCUUCAAAAUUGAGAAAAACAAAUAACCCCUCGAAAUUGCAGUAAUAUGUUUACACUUUAAAAGCAUCUCAUAUGCAUUAUCAUCAUUUAUCAUUUAUAAAGAAAAUUUAGACUGUGACCAUGAACAUGUAUAUUGUUAGAUAUA
rnacentral:lncRNA from 1 species